GUUUGUCGACAAAUUCUGUGGGAAAUAUUGUCCCCACGGGUUUUGUAAGCAACGAAACG
rfam:Lactococcus garvieae Lg2 DNA, complete genome.